CCUGGCUCGAGCCCCAGCUUCCUGCUCCUACAUACCUUGAGAGGCAGCCACGACUGCUCAGCUAUCAGGGCCUCCGUCACCCAGAGCCCACCUCCCUGCCAACUCUGGCAACAUUUAGGAGUCGGGUCUCCUGCAUGUGCCCGGCACACCUCUAGGCUCUGGAGGUGCAGUAGUGAACACACGAAAAUCCCUGAGUGCAUCCAAGAGGGCCUUUGCCCUGCAGGAACACAGCACCAGUGACAGCAGUGACAGCAGAUGCCUCCAGUUCUUUCAUCUGUUCCCUUGGGGAUCAGACCCAGAGCAGCUUCCACCUCUCCUGGGCGUGGCCUGUGGGCCCUAGAAGAGGUGUCAGCGUUUGUCACACAAUCACCUGCACUUCAUGUCAUCCAGGAGUCCCCGAUGAGCCCCCUCAGCGGGCACCUGGCACCCAGGUGGACAUAUGAGCUGGCCCUGCAGCAUCCUGGGUCACUUAUUCCACACACCCUUGCUGGGAACAGUCACUCCACACUGCACGCAUGGUGGAUCCUUUCCACUCAGUUUUCACAUGACCCUAAAACCACUCUAAAAAAAUA